GAGGUUGACAAACUACGGUUACGAAACCAUAGUUAAACCAUGGUUUUAGAAUUGUUCUGAUACCAUAGUUAUAAAAACAUGGUUAAACCAUGGUUUUACCACAAAUCAAACAACGGUCUGACCGUAGUUAACUACACUUUUGACAUGGUCUCAACACGAGUAUUAAAAAAAAUUAAAAAAAACUACUAUCAUGUAACCAAUGUAGUUAUGACCACUAUAUACAUAAUACAUGUAUGACCAGCACUACUCGAUUGUUUUGAUGACCUUGAACUGAUUCGAUAAUAUGGAAUUGUAACAAUUUGCCCCAAAAUAAAUACAAUUAUUAGUGUGUUUGCUGCCAUCUAGUGGUGGAAUGCACACUGUAUUUCCAAUUUUGAAUUUCUUCACUCCAGCCAUUACUUUGCCGUUUCGCCAAAUUUGUCUUCCUUUAAAACCCAGAAUAUAGGGGAUAAGGGUUAGAUUUACACCAGGAAAGAAGAAUUGUACGAGACUAAGAGUAUUCCAGAGCAAGAAUUGGACAACAUGAAGAACUCGAAGUAGAUCUAGAUUUCAAUUUACCAGACAGUCACACUGGUCUACAUACUACAGUACAGUCCCACACAGCCACUCAUGUGUGGGAAAAUAUCGGUCUGCAGAAAACGACCAACUUUGCUUUGCUGCUGGAGCUAUACUUUAAGGUCAACAUUUUCUCCAGGAGGGUAUCUUCGGCUGCGGGAAAGUCAUCAACAUGGACUGUUCCAGUGAACAUGCAGUCUUGAUUUGUAAGACUAAACUGUCCAACAAACUUCACGGAAAUUAUGCAAGACAUGGGUGAGAGUUUGAGAAUUCAUCUGUAUGGGAUCCCUAUAGAGGAGAGCUUUUCAAAAUUAUACCAGUUAUGCUGACCAGCAAACAUUCAGCAAGUACAUCCAGUACAAUCGACCCUGUCACCUUUGUUCGGUCGGAAGGAAUCUGAGAAAGUAAUCUUCAAUACACAGCUUUUUUUCGAGCAAAACUUUUAAAUUUGCCGCACAGAUGUGACGUAUACGCCUCUGUCUGUGUUGUGAGGACCCUACGUCACAAAAAAUGUCGCGCAAUGCAUUGUGAGAGGAACCGGCUCGAUCAUUCACUUGUUUUUUGCUCAUUAAAGCCUUACUGCACUCCUUUUAGCUACUUGCUC
rnacentral:lncRNA from 1 species